rnacentral:rRNA from 1 species
GAUGAACGCUGGCGGCGUGCUUAACACAUGCAAGUCGAACGAGAAGUGAAGACGGAACCCUUCGGGCGGAAGGCUUUAUUUCGAGUGGCGGACGGGUGAGUAACGCGUGGGUAACCUGCCUCAUACAGGGGGAUAACAGUUGGAAACGACUGUUAAUACCGCAUAAGACCACAGCACCGCAUGGUGCGGGGGUAAAAACUCCGGUGGUAUGAGAUGGACCCGCGUUCGAUUAGCCAGUUGGCGGGGUAACGGCCCACCACAGCGACGAUCGAUAGCCGAUCUGAGAGGAUGACCGGCCACAUUGGGACUGAGACACGGCCCAAACUCCUACGGGAGGCAGCAGUGGGGAAUAGUGCACAAUGGGGGAAACCCUGAUGCAGCGACGCCGCGUGAGUGAAGAAGUAUUUCGGUAUGUAAAGCUCUAUCAGCAGGGAAGAAAAUGACGGUACCUGAGGAAGAAGCCCCGGCUAACUACGUG